AUUGAACGCUGGCGGCAUGCCUUACACAUGCAAGUCGAACGGCAGCGCGGGAGCAAUCCUGGCGGCGAGUGGCGAACGGGUGAGUAAUACAUCGGAACGUGCCCAAUCGUGGGGGAUAACGCAGCGAAAGCUGUGCUAAUACCGCAUACGAUCUACGGAUGAAAGCAGGGGAUCGCAAGACCUUGCGCGAAUGGAGCGGCCGAUGGCAGAUUAGGUAGUUGGUGAGGUAAAGGCUCACCAAGCCUUCGAUCUGUAGCUGGUCUGAGAGGACGACCAGCCACACUGGAACUGAGACACGGCCCAGACUCCUACGGGAGGCAGCAGUGGCGAAUUUUGGACAAUGGGCGAAAGCCUGAUCCAGCCAUGCCGCGUGCAGGAUGAAGGCCUUCGGGUUGUAAACUGCUUUUGUACGGAACGAAACGGUCUUUUCUAAUAAAGAAGGCUAAUGACGGUACCGUAAGAAUAAGCACCGGCUAACUACGUG
rnacentral:rRNA from 1 species